rnacentral:rRNA from 1 species
CGCAAGUAGCAAUACUUGAGUGGCGGACGGGUGAGUAACGCGUGAGAAUCUGCCUUUUGGUCGGGGACAACCAUUGGAAACGAUGGCUAAUACCCGAUGUGCCUAUGGGUAAAAGAUUUAUUGCCAAAAGAGGAGCUCGCGUCUGAUUAGCUAGUUGGUGAGGUAAAGGCUCACCAAGGCGGCGAUCAGUAGCUGGUCUGAGAGGAUGACCAGCCACACUGGGACUGAGACACGGCCCAGACUCCUACGGGAGGCAGCAGUGGGGAAUUUUCCGCAAUGGGCGAAAGCCUGACGGAGCAAGACCGCGUGAGGGAGGAAGGCUCUUGGGUCGUAAACCUCUUUUGUCAGGGAAGAACACAAUGACGGUACCUGACGAAUCAGCCUCGGCUAACUCCGUGCCAGCAGCCGCGGUAAUACGGAGGAGGCAAACGUUAUCCGGAAUUAUUGGGCGUAAAGCGUCCGCAGGUGGCACGUCAAGUCUGCUGUCAAAGACCGGGGCUUAACUCCAGAAAGGCAGUGGAAACUGAAGUGCUAGAGUGCAGUAGGGGUAGAGGGAAUUCCCGGUGUAGCGGUGAAAUGCGUAGAGAUCGGGAAGAACAUCGGUGGCGAAAGCGCUCUGCUGGACUGCAACUGACACUCAGGGACGAAAGCUAGGGGAGCGAAUGGGAUUAGAUACCCCAGUAGUCCUAGCCGUAAACGAUGGAUACUAGGUGUGGCUUGUAUCGAC